rnacentral:rRNA from 1 species
GACGAACGCUGGCGGCGUGCCUAAUACAUGCAAGUAGAACGCUGAAGGAGGAGCUUGCUUCUCCGGAUGAGUUGCGAACGGGUGAGUAACGCGUAGGUAACCUGCCUGGUAGCGGGGGAUAACUAUUGGAAACGAUAGCUAAUACCGCAUAAGAGUAGAUGUUGCAUGACAUUUGCUUGAAAGGUGCAAUUGCAUCACUACCAGAUGGACCUGCGUUGUAUUAGCUAGUUGGUGAGGUAACGGCUCACCAAGGCGACGAUACAUAGCCGACCUGAGAGGGUGAUCGGCCACACUGGGACUGAGACACGGCCCAGACUCCUACGGGAGGCAGCAGUAGGGAAUCUUCGGCAAUGGACGGAAGUCUGACCGAGCAACGCCGCGUGAGUGAAGAAGGUUUUCGGAUCGUAAAGCUCUGUUGUAAGAGAAGAACGAGUGUGAGAGUGGAAAGUUCACACUGUGACGGUAUCUUACCAGAAAGGGACGGCUAACUACGUG